UCCAUGCUGAACUUUCAGGCUUGCUUGGAUAUAAGGAGGAAACUAGCAAAAUUCAGACUAUCACUUACUGUGAGCAAGCCACGUAGAAAGGAGGAACAAAUGCUGCAGAGUGAGAUAAACAAGAGGCUACAGCGCUUACCAAGGACUUCCUGGUUCCAGGGAGCAGUAUUUUUUAUAAAAUCACUGUAGAAGAACUUGGACCAAAAAUACUCAACACCUUCUCUUUGCAGAUGUUCUUGAGGACUAAAUUUGGCCUCACCAAGUUCCCAGUAUCCAGAAGAAGUAUCCAAUCUGUAUCUUCAUCAAUUCACAGAGGAUCCUGGCUGGACAGAGUCCAGAAGGAGGAAUGGUACAACUUCAGUGGAUAUCGCAUCUCUAGUAACUUUUGUCAAUUCAUCUUUGGGUAUCACCACUACCUCUGUCAUUCCUCUAAGAGUUAACUCCCUUUUGUAGGCUGUUUCCUUUUGCUCCUCAAGGCUACAGACUGUGACUGUUUUUCUGGCUCAAGAAGAAGGUCAUUUUUAUCAUUGUUUUGUUUUACUGGUUCGUUUUCGGUGUAGGACAUUUGGGACCUUGUGAACAGACAGGUCUAAGAAAUGGUAAGGUUGAAUGAGCUCAAAAUCUGGAAAUCUCAGAAUUGAAAAUGGCAGGAGUAGAGUCUUUCAUUCCCUACCAGCCUCUACCUGCUCUGGAACAUGUAAGCCUGUCACAUCACUGGGAAUUAUGGGAACUAGGUAACACAGUUCUUCUCCAUGCUAAUGAGCUGUCUAGAUAGUCCCGAGCAUUAAGCCAAUGAAUUUGCUUUUCUGGGUAUUGAUCCCUGAAAAAGGUAUUUAAUACAUGAUUCUCCCAGAAAAAAAGUUCAUGCAUUCACACCCACCAUCAAUUAAACCAGUAGGAAGAAGCAAGGGACUUCUCAGAGAGCUAUAUUAUUAAGGACUUCCUUGAGGAAAGCUUUUGUCUUAAAGAACCAUGCCUAAGACUCCUUCAGAGAAAGACUUUCUCUCCUCAAGCCCCUCUAAUACUCUCAGUACUCAAUCCUGAUCAGACUGAGUUCCAAUGAGCCUGGGCUCUACCCUUCCCCACCCCUAGCCCCCACCCCCAUUCCUGACUCACAGCAGUACACUGGUGGCACCUGAGCAGCCAGAGAGGAGACUGGAAACUAGAGCUUUUCUCCCUGACUCCUCUUUCCGCUCUGGUCUGACAAAGGGCAAGGGCUGUGUACUGCCUUUUCAGCUUUCUUCUGUCUCACCUGAGCUGCUUGCCAGUGGUGCUCAGGCACCACCAGUAGAGAGGUAGGAGGCAGUAUGAGAUUGCUUGUUCUGUUACUAUACCUGUUAGUCUGAAACCUUUAUAACUCACACUUUCAUCAUGCAGCAUCCUCUUGAGUGCAUGUAUGACGGACCUUCUUCCUCACUGAAGCUGUGUUUCUGCUGACCAAGGGCACAGGAAGUAUAAUGAUAAAGGAUAAGGGGUGCAGUCUUAAAAUUCAUCCCAUAGUAGUUACUGGUCACAGAACUUCUAGUUGCUUAGAAGUCAACAA
rnacentral:sRNA from 1 species